AGCACUUCCGGUUAGCGAGUUAGCGUCUUUUACGGUCUUUGGUUAGCGUGCAGAAAAAGUAAACUAUGGAUGGUGUUACACGCCGACACGGCUCCGGGACAUAUUGUGCUGUUCACGGUUGCAACAACUCGUGCCGAUUGCUGAAUGUUUGGUCGGAAGGAGAAUGUUUCGACCAUCAACCAUCUACAAGAUUGUCAAAUUGAUACAGCCAAGCGGUGUGAUGGCAUCUGCAUCUGGGACAAGACCGCGCGGCUGUGACGGGGAGGGGGCAUCCAUGUGCUGUCAAGGUCCAGGUGGUUUGGGUUGCUGUCUUCUGUGCUGUGACGUUUGGGGCACCCUGGGUUUGGAACCCUCACGUGAGUGAGUGAGUGAGUGAG
ensembl:lncRNA